rnacentral:rRNA from 1 species
UAAGGAAUAUUGGUCAAUGGACGCAAGUCUGAACCAGCCAUGCCGCGUGGAGGAUUAAGGCCCUCUGGGUUGUAAACUCCUUUUAUCUGGGAAGAAAUGUACUUUUUCUUGAGUACUUGACGGUACCAGAGGAAUAAGCACCGGCUAACUCCGUGCCAGCAGCCGCGGUAAUACGGAGGGUGCAAGCGUUAUCCGGAUUCACUGGGUUUAAAGGGUGCGUAGGUGGGCAGGUAAGUCAGUGGUGAAAUCUCCGGGCUUAACUUGGAAACUGCCGUUGAUACUAUAGGUCUUGAAUUAUCUGGAGGUAAGCGGAAUAUGUCAUGUAGCGGUGAAAUGCUUAGAUAUGACAUAGAACACCAAUUGCGAAGGCAGCUUACUACAUAUAAAUUGACGCUGAGGCACGAAAGCGUGGGGAUCAAACA